UUGGAGGAUGUAUAGCGAUAGCUAAUUGCAUCGAAAAUAUGAUGCAAGAUCGAUUUAUUGAAUAAAAUUCUGGGUAGAAUUAUGAUUAUGACAUUGUCUAUCCAUGUGUCUUGACCAAAUUACGUGCCAGCAGUCGCGGUAAUACGUAGAAGACUAGUGUUAUUCAUCUUUAAUAGGUUUAAAGGGUACCUAGACGGUAAAUCAAGCCCUAGACGGGACUAAUUUGCUAGAGUUACUUGUGAGGGGGUUUUAAAGUACUAAUGGUGUAGAGAUGAAAUUUUGUAAUACCAUUUUUCGAAAGGAAAGUAAUGGCACAGGUAUAGGCGAAAGCAUCCCCUUAUGUGAUAACUGACGUUGAAGGACGAAGGCUUUGAGUCGCGAACAGGAUUAGAUACCCUGGUAGUCAAAGCAGAAAAUAAUGAGUGUCAUAGAUUAGAUAUUAAAGUUUAUUCUAUAAAUGAAAGUGUAAGCACUCCACCUCAAGAGUAAUUUGGCAACAUUGGAACUGAAAUCAUUAGACCGUUUCUGAAACCAGUAGUGAAGUAUGUUGUUUAAUUUGAUAAUCCGCAAAAAACCUUACCACAAUUUGAAUAUUUAUAUCGUUGAUAUAAUUACAAGCGUUGCACGGCUGUCUUCAGUUAAUGUCGUGAGAUUUUGGUUAGAUCCAUUAAAUUAACGCAAGCCCUUACUUUAUUUUAAAAUAAAGUCGUUCCCCACUAGAUUGGAUAAGAUAACAGGGAUUAAGACAAGUCAUCAUGGCCUGAAUAUUGUGGGCUAUAG
rnacentral:rRNA from 1 species